GUUUAAGUGAGUUAAUCUAAUGAACCAAGUCAUGGGCGAAGCAUGUAAUGUGCAUUAUCUAAUUUAUUCCUCACAAUAAUCACGUAAGUAUUAAUUAGUGUAUUCAUAUAUGUUAUUACCUAUAAUCAGAUUAUUAAAUUAUUUGUCCAAGGUCACUAGCUAGUAAGUGGUGCUAGGAUUUGAAUCUGGCAAUAUCUAUUACCAAAGCCUUUGUGCUGAAGUCAUAUGCUGUAUAGAAAGGUAAUGUCUAGGUCCUCCCACCUAAUGUGAUGAUGAUGAUUAUUAUUAUGAUAGAAAACCCUUGUGCAACAUUAACCAGGUGCCAUGGAUUUGUUUUAUAUCAUUCUCGGUAUAGAUACUAACAUUUAUUACUAUAUACCCAUUUUACAGAGAAGAAACAGAGGAAACUCAUUUUACAGAUGCAGCAACGGAACUGAAGUAGCAAGAAAAUGGCAGACCCUGGAUUCAAACCAAGGUCUUCUGAGUCCUUAUACAAAGCUUCCAUUUUUAGAAAUAAGAUGUUGAAGGCAAGUUUCCAACCAGUCCUGCUUUCCCUGUACACAGGAUAGUGACUGUAAAUGUCAUCUGGCUCCAUCCAUUUAUUGUGCUAUUGACUGGGUA
rnacentral:lncRNA from 1 species